GGAUAACAUACCGAAAGGUAUGCUAAUACGGGAUAAUAUAUUUGAGAGGCAUCUCUUGAAUAUCAAAGGUGAGCCAGUACAGGAUGGACCCGCGUCUGAUUAGCUAGUUGGUAAGGUAAAGGCUUACCAAGGCGACGAUCAGUAGCCGACCUGAGAGGGUGAUCGGCCACAUUGGAACUGAGACACGGUCCAAACUCCUACGGGAGGCAGCAGUGGGGAAUAUUGCACAAUGGGCGAAAGCCUGAUGCAGCAACGCCGCGUGAGUGAUGAAGGCCUUCGGGUCGUAAAACUCCGUCCUCAAGGAAGAUAAUGACGGUACUUGAGGAGGAAGCCCCGGCUAACUACGUGCCAGCAGCCGCGGUAAUACGUAGGGGGCUAGCGUUAUCCGGAUUUACUGGGCGUAAAGGGUGCGUAGGCGGUCUUUCAAGUCAGGAGUGAAAGGCUACGGCUCAACCGUAGUAAGCUCUUGAAACUGGGAGACUUGAGUGCAGGAGAGGAGAGUGGAAUUCCUAGUGUAGCGGUGAAAUGCGUAGAUAUUAGGAGGAACACCAGUUGCGAAGGCGGCUCUCUGGACUGUAACUGACGCUGAGGCACGAAAGCGUGGGGAGCAAACAGGAUUAGAUACCCUGGUAGUCCACGCUGUAAACGAUGAGUACUAGGUGUCGGGGGUUACCCCCUUCGGUGCCGCAG
rnacentral:rRNA from 1 species